rnacentral:tRNA from 1 species
GGAAAGUUGCCGGAGUGAUCGAUCGGGGCGGACUCGAAAUCCGCUGUACGGCUUUGUCCGUACCGGGGGUUUGAAUCCCUCACUUUCCGCAA